AUGAGCCGUGAGGAGGGCGAGAUGAGCAGUAGCUUGCUUCGCCCACACCCCAGGGCGCCCCUGGAAGUUGAUGACUUGCUCUCCGAGAUUCUCCUUCGCCUGCCUCCGGACCCGUCAUCCCUUCCCCGUGCCUCCGCCGUGUGUAGGCGCUGGCGCCUCCUCGUCUCCGACCCGGGCUUCUCCCGCCGCUUCCGUCGUCACCAUCACCGCAACCCUCCGAUCAUCGGUUUCUACGACAGUAAUCUUCGAGACCUCUCAUUCGUACCUACUCUGAAGGCCCCCAACCGUGUCUCGCCCGGGCGAUUGUCCUUGCGGCGCCAUCGCGACGACCAAUACUUCACCCCCCUGGGAUGCCGCCAUGGCCUCGUGCUGAUUUGUAUCGGGAACUCCGAACCACUGAAGCGCCAUGUUCUAGUGUGGAACCCUGUUACUGGUGAGCAGCAUCGCCAAGGCACUCCCCCGGGGUUCGACACAGGAAAACACUUCAAUGGGGCGGUGCUUCGGGCUGCAGCAGAUGUUGACCACUUCCAGGUGGUCUUGGUAGGCAACGGCGACCAAAAACGAGCGGUCGCUAGUGUUUACUCGUCAGAUACCGGCGUAUGGAGCAAUCUCGUCUCUACAUCAACAUCGUUGCCACUGAUGUCUUCUACAGACCCUUCACCCGACUGGUGUUUUAACGGUUUAUCCUUUGACCCCGCUGUGCUGGUUAGGAAUUCCCUAUACUGGCUGCUUGGAGCUGACUCGGUUGGAAUUCUCGAGUAUGAUUUGGAGAGACGGAGCCUUGAUGUGAUAGGAUUGCCAGUGCGUAUGCCUACUGGGUGUGCGAUUGGGAGCAAUAACCGAUUCUCGGUUGUGCAAGCGGAAGAUGGUGGGCUGGGUUUCCUCUCUCUGUCAGGCUUCAGCGCCCACUUAUGGCAGAGGAAGACCGAAUAUAAUGGUGCUGCUUCAUGGGUGAUUGAAAAAACUAUUAAACUGGACACACUACUGAAAAUUCCCGUGGAUCCAAAGAAAGAAGGACCAUUUAUUUUGGUGAUAGGAUUUGCCGAGGACAAUAAUACGGUGUUCCUAGGGACAAUAAUUGGCGUUGUCAUGCUCCAUCUUGAGUCGUUGCAGUUCGAGAAGCUUCAGUCUAGAAGUGCUUCUACCUACUAUCCAUUUGAAAGUGUCUAUGAUGCAUGUAAUAACACGACUUUACAGUAG
rnacentral:rRNA from 1 species